UACAGAGGUCCCAAGCGUUGCUCGGAAUCACUGGGCGUAAAGGGUGCGUAGGCGGGUCUUUAAGUCAGGGGUGAAAUCCUGGAGCUCAACUCCAGAACUGCCUUUGAUACUGAAGAUCUUGAGUUCGGGAGAGGUGAGUGGAACUGCGAGUGUAGAGGUGAAAUUCGUAGAUAUUAGGAAGAACACCAGUGGCGAAGGCGGCUCACUGGUCCGGUACUGACGCUGAGGUGCGAAAGCGUGGGGAGCAAACAGG
rnacentral:rRNA from 1 species